AGAUUGAACGCUGGCGGCAUGCCUAACACAUGCAAGUCGAACGGGCGUAGCAAUACGUCAGUGGCAGACGGGUGAGUAACACGUGGGAACCUUCCUAGGGGUACGGAACAACUCAGGGAAACUUGAGCUAAUACCGUAUACGUCCGUGAGGAGAAAGAUUCAUCGCCCCUAGACGGGCCCGCGUCGGAUUAGGUAGUUGGUGGGGUAACGGCCUACCAAGCCUACGAUCCGUAGCUGAUCUGAGAGGAUGAUCAGCCACACUGGGACUGAGACACGGCCCAGACUCCUACGGGAGGCAGCAGUGGGGAAUCUGGACAAGUGGGCGCAAGCCUGAUCCGAGCCAUGCCGCGUGAGUGAAGAGGCCGUUAGGGUGUAAGUCU
rnacentral:rRNA from 1 species